GCCGCCGUGGUGAAACUGGUAGACACGCAAGGUUUAGGACCUUGUGGGGGCAACUCCAUGUCGGUUCGAGUCCGACCGGCGGCACCA
rnacentral:tRNA from 1 species